rnacentral:misc_RNA from 1 species
AAGUCGUAACAAGGUUUCCGUAGGUGAACCUGCGGAAGGAUCAUUAACACUUUUUCAUUUUAUUGAAAAUUUAUUUUUCAAUAAUUUACUUACCCACAUUUUUGGAUGAAUUAUUUCUUUUUUAUUCUUUUUUUAAAUUUUAAAAACCCAAAUACUAUAUUAUUUCUAACAUUUAUACACAAAAAGUUUAAGAAAAACAUAAAAAACAACUCUUAACAACGGAUAUCUAGGCUCUC